GUAUGCUUGCGCCAUGAACCGCUUCCUGUCCGCCCUCCGACGUCGCCGCUCGCCGCACCUCAUGGCUGCCGCCGGCUCGUCACGGACGCACGCGUAACCCCCCUCUUCGUUACGCACUAGCUGUUCGAACCACCAAGCCACGGCAUUCCGUGGCUUUUUU
rnacentral:ncRNA from 2 species